GAUGAACGCUAGCUACAGGCUUAACACAUGCAAGUCGAGGGGCAUCAGGAAGAAAGCUUGCUUUCUUUGCUGGCGACCGGCGCACGGGUGAGUAACACGUAUCCAACCUGCCCUUUACUCGGGGAUAGCCUUUCGAAAGAAAGAUUAAUACCCGAUAGCAUAAUGAUUCCGCAUGGUUUCAUUAUUAAAGGAUUCCGGUAAAGGAUGGGGAUGCGUUCCAUUAGGUUGUUGGUGAGGUAACGGCCCACCAAGCCUUCGAUGGAUAGGGGUUCUGAGAGGAAGGUCCCCCACAUUGGAACUGAGACACGGUCCAAACUCCUACGGGAGGCAGCAGUGAGGAAUAUUGGUCAAUGGGCGCUAGCCUGAACCAGCCAAGUAGCGUGAAGGAUGAAGGCUCUAUGGGUCGUAAACUUCUUUUAUAUAAGAAUAAAGUGCAGUAUGUAUACUGUUUUGUAUGUAUUAUAUGAAUAAGGAUCGGCUAACUCCGUGCCAGCAGCCGCGGUAAUACGGAGGAUCCGAGCGUUAUCCGGAUUUAUUGGGUUUAAAGGGAGCGUAGGUGGACUGGUAAGUCAGUUGUGAAAGUUUGCGGCUCAACCGUAAAAUUGCAGUUGAUACUGUCAGUCUUGAGUACAGUAGAGGUGGGCGGAAUUCGAGGUGUAGCGGUGAAAUGCUUAGAUAUCACGAAGAACUCCGAUUGCGAAGGCAGCUCACUGGACUGCAACUGACACUGAUGCUCGAAAGUGUGGGUAUCAAACAGGAUUAGAUACCCUGGUAGUCCACACAGUAAACGAUGAAUACUCGCUGUUUGCGAUAUACAGUAAGCGGCCAAGCGAAAGCAUUAAGUAUUCCACCUGGGGAGUACGCCGGCAACGGUGAAACUCAAAGGAAUUGACGGGGGCCCGCACAAGCGGAGGAACAUGUGGUUUAAUUCGAUGAUACGCGAGGAACCUUACCCGGGCUUAAAUUGCAGUGGAAUGAUGUGGAAACAUGUCAGUGAGCAAUCACCGCUGUGAAGGUGCUGCAUGGUUGUCGUCAGCUCGUGCCGUGAGGUGUCGGGUUAAGUGCCAUAACGAGCGCAACCCUUAUCUUUAGUUACUAACAGGUUAUGCUGAGGACUCUAGAGAGACUGCCGUCGUAAGAUGUGAGGAAGGUGGGGAUGACGUCAAAUCAGCACGGCCCUUACGUCCGGGGCUACACACGUGUUACAAUGGGGGGUACAGAAGGCAGCUAGCGGGUGACCGUAUGCUAAUCCCAAAAUCCUCUCUCAGUUCGGAUCGAAGUCUGCAACCCGACUUCGUGAAGCUGGAUUCGUUAGUAAUCGCGCAUCAGCCACGGCGCGGUGAAUACGUUCCCGGGCCUUGUACACACCGCCCGUCAAGCCAUGGGAGCCGGGGGUACCUGAAGUACGUAACCGCAAGGAUCGUCCUAGGGUAAAACUGG
rnacentral:rRNA from 1 species